rnacentral:rRNA from 1 species
UACGGAGGAUCCAAGCGUUAUCCGGAUUUAUUGGGUUUAAAGGGUGCGUAGGCGGCUUUUUAAGUCAGGGGUGAAAACUUGCGGCUCAACCGUAAGCUUGCCUUUGAUACUGAGGAGCUUGAAUACACUUGAGGUAGGCGGAAUGUGACAAGUAGCGGUGAAAUGCAUAGAUAUGUCACAGAACACCAAUUGCGAAGGCAGCUUACUAAAGUGAGAUUGACGCUGAGGCACGAAAGCGUGGGGGAUCAAACAGG